GAUAUUAAACUUUGUACUUUCACGCAUCAUUUAAUGAGCGGUAUUCACUAUUUGGUAGUGCGAAGAAUAUCGUUUGGUAUACAUUGCACUACGAAAUAGUGAAUAGUCACUAUUUCAAUUUCAGAGAAUGAAAAGCUGUGCCCUGUAGAGGAUC